UAACCUGCCCAAGAGAUCGGGAUAACACCUGGAAACAGAUGCUAAUACCGGAUAACAACAGAUGAUGCCUAUCAACUGUUUAAAAGAUGGUUCUGCUAUCACUCUUGGAUGGGCCUGCGGUGCAUUAGCUAGUUGGUAGGGUAACGGCCUACCAAGGCGAUGAUGCAUAGCCGAGUUGAGAGACUGAUCGGCCACAUUGGGACUGAGACACGGCCCAAACUCCUACGGGAGGCAGCAG
rnacentral:rRNA from 1 species